UCAAGAUGAAGGCCAUGCAUGGCUUCUUCGAGGAAGGCGACAAGGUGAAGGUCACCCUGCGCUUCCGCGGCCGUGAAAUGGCUCACCAGGAUCUCGGCGUGAAGGUGCUCGAGCGCGUCAAGGCCGAUCUCGUCGACGUCGCCAAGGUCGAGAGCGACUGGCAGCUCGAGGGCCGCCAGAUGGUGAUGGUCCUCGCGCCCAAAUAAAGGUCGCGUCGGGCGGUUGCCCGGCGCACUCAUCCGAUUCGUAAAAAGGCCCGGCACAGCGCCGGGCC
rnacentral:misc_RNA from 1 species